CCUCACAAUGUCUGCAUCUUUCACCUCCUUUGGUCUCACACGGGCGUUUUAUCAUCUCCUGACAUCAGAACAAGACUAAUGUGGUACAUCUGUAGCAAUCUCCAUACAUGCCAUGUGGCCACUUGGAUUACUUCUAAAGCCUCUUUUCUCACAAAGAUUUAUUUGCAGACUAGAACUCAGGCAUUCUGACUCCGAGCCAGCUGCUGCUUCCGACUUCAGGAUAUCUCCAUUUUGGAAGAGAACCCAUGUUUCGAGGGAUCAUGUAAUGCAGAUUCUCCCCAGGUUGGAAUUUGUAGUUAUUGGAACUCAAUGUUGCUGAAGAGGAAAAAUGGAAAUAUUGCAGACUGUACCUCAAGAGUAUCUUUCACUUUUACACAUGGAAGCCUAAGUGUCCAUCAACAGAUGAAUG